GUCUGAGUGACUAACAACAAGGUUCAUAGAAACAGGGUGUGUUCGAAAGUGCGCUCUGGGCGUUCAUACAUGCAGAGCAAUGUACUGUAAGAUUUAAGUUCGCUCUUGGAGCGUUCAGAGCGCACACUGCACUGGACACUGGCCGAGGAAUAGCGUUGAUCCGAGCAUUUUGACCUCACAAAGGCAGUCAAGCACCCAAGCUAACAGGCUAAAGAUGGCUACCUUGCUAGCUCCUUCCAGACACAAAUGAGAGAACACCUUACUCUGACCAUUUAACUCGCCAGAGAAGAGCUGGUUAGGCUGUUUUCAUGUUAUCUGGAGUUGGUGACUGUAACUGUGCUGCUGGCAACAAUUUAAUUAUGUUGUUUUGCUGAGUUCACUGACACCGGUCAUAUAUUCAGUGAGUGUUGCGUGUUCGUAAAUUCAUCAGUUAUUCUGCGCUCUGGCACACUAAGUGCUCUGCAAUCGGAGUAGAUAGCCAGAGUGAAUUUAGGAAUGCACCCUUAGAUACAAAAUAUGUUACAUUUAUAGAAAAUGUUGGUCAAUUCAAAAUGUAACUGCCAUUCCUAUUAUAAAACCAACUGUCAUUCCAGCAUGACCAUUCAAGGGGAUGAUUGUUGAACCAACUUGGAAGUAGCCUACCAAUAAGCACAUUAUUUUUCAAUGUAUUAAGAACUAUCAGAGGCUGAGGAUCUCUCUUUUGGCUGCUGCUGCUACUGACAGCCACUGCUUAACCAGUCUUGCAACAACCCAUACUGUACUGGCGGAAGGCUGCCUAGCGGUUUAGGAGUGGUUCCUGAUGCAGGAGUUUGACCUGUGGCCGAAAAGUGGAAUUGAUCUGACAAUUGGAGGGCUGCUGCACUGCAGCUUGAACAUAUGCUCGUCUCAACUAUAUGUGUGAGGUCUGCUGUUUAUGGGGGUUGAGAAUGGAGCAGAAGACACAUUUUUGUUGUUCAUUGUAACUAAUGGGCAAAGUUGUAUUGGAUUGCAUUGUAUUGUAUUCUAAAGAAGUCAUCCAGAGUUGACAUGGGCCAUCAUUCAAACAAAGAGAUGUCUCCCUGGCCACCAGUGCAAAUUUUCAAACUAUGUUUGAAUAUAAUGACAAUACAUUCCUAAAACUAUGCUGGUAUAUUUUUUUCCGUUAUUGAAUAGUUUAUUAAAUGAUGCUGUUAGUUAAAAAAUAUUACUAUUUAAUAGUAGCAGCCAUAAUUCAUAAAAUGGCACCAUGCAGGAUUCUAUAUGGAAUCAUUUAGGUUCAGUGAAGAAGAACCAUUAGGGUUCUGACCAAAGAACCCUAUGAAAUGGUUCUGUAUAGAACUUUUAGAGGUUCCAUAUAUGAAGCAAGAGAUAGAACCCUUUUUGGUUCGUUAAGGAACUUUUUUUCUAAGUUUGUGAGAAACCUGUUGAAACUAGCUGUCAGUGGACUGACAAAUGGUGUAUGGUCCCAGAAGGCCAGACCCACUCUGGUUUGGCCAUAAUCAUAGCCACUUGCUAAAUCAUUUUAUCAGGAAAAGAUUUGUUUUGGGAAUUUUCUAAAUACCUUCAAUAUUGUGUAUUUCCAUUUUGGCUCUAUGCUUAGAAAUGCCCGUCUGGAGCAAAAUAUCCCAAUUUCAAACGUUCCAAAACAGUGUAUAAAAUUCUAAAAACAGGCAAUUAUGGAUAACAACUGAAAAAUGAUCUUUAAUGAAAAUGUAUCUCAAAACAGUGAUUUCUAAAAGAUGUCCAGAGAUUUGAUUUAUUCCGUCAGAUUUGUCUAAAAUCCUAAAUGAAUCAGGAAUGAGCAGGGUCAGUUAUACCAUAAGGACCCCCUAUUCAUGUCUUCAUUGCAUGUAGUGCAACAAGACCACACAUGGUCUGUAAAGUUCUAUACUUUUGAUAGAUUUAAACAAACAAUAUUGGAAGCACCAUGGUAUGGUGCUUCCAUUAACUGGUGCAACCAUUAACUGUCAAAUCCAUCUGAAUGAUAGAUUACAAUAGAAUAUACAUUUUGGUUCAAAUAUGUUACAUUUAAUUAGGGUUUAGAGUUAUAAAGCAAUUUAGGAAAAUCUAGAUUGCUACUGUGUAUAACACUUGAAUGAAGAAGAAAAAUGCAAUUUAUGUCAAAUUUGUAAAACAUGAACUCCGUCAUAUUUGUGUCUAACGUCAACUCCGUCAGAGUGCUGAAAGAUCUGAUAGAAUGGAUAUGUUUUCAUUAAGGAUUUUCAAAUGAAUAAUUUUCUAUAUUUUGCAAAUUUUUGUAUUGAACUUUUAUUUUUAGAGGCUAAAAUAUGUCUGUUUUGAAUAUCUGUUAACAACUCCGUCAAUGGCUUGUAAACUUCGUCACUGAUGGCUAAUAACCAUAAAGUCGUUUUUUUCGGUGUCAAAAUUAUGAACAAAUAUUUUAUUAACUUCUCUGCAACAUAUGCUUAAACAAUUGAAGCAUUUGCUGUGCUAAACCUAAGGGAUAAUGUUUAUUUUAGAAAUGUUGUUUUAAGUUCUAAAUCUAGUACAACAUGCCAGAAUGCUAACAAAAUUAGCCCUGGAGCACUUAAUAGGGCUAUAAAACUAAACAAAAAGAUGUUUAGAAAUUUGUAUGACAUAUUUAAAUAAUCUAAUGUUAGAAUUAAACAAGCAAGGCCUUCAAACACUUGUUGAACAAAAAUUGUACAAAUAAAAUGCCUUUUAUGGUGUCUGGUGAAGGUCACAUAAAUACAGUUAGUUGUAUUUUAUGAGAAAAAAAAUACAUUUAGGUUGUUUCUUUACAUGGUAUGAUAGCUGAUACAUUGGUCUCUGUGGGGGAAUUUUAAAAAAAAUAGCAUGAUAUUAGCUAUAAAACUACACAUUUUCCUCUCUGCCCCAUGGCAAAAAGGGGGGGCCCUUGCUAGUACCAUGCUGGAUCACUGGAUCAGCAUUAUCACAAUAUGUAAUUACCAACUGGAUUUAAUAGGUAAUUGAAAUGACCAAUAGUGAAAGUACAGCAAACACUCAUUAAGAGAGCUCUACAUAAUUACAUUACACAAAACAAGCAAGGAUUAAAAACCAUAACAUCCCUCAGUAGAGAAAAUUGCUCCCCUCGGUGUCUAAUUUACAUUUACUGCUACUUAACACUGGCUGUAUAUGACACAGGUAAUGUUAUGGAAACUCCAAUCCCAGCAGAUGUAUUACAUAAUACUGGCACAUACAGUACACUCUUAAUACAUUCACAUUAACAGUGUUAGUGUUCAUGUGAGUGUAUUAAGAGUGUACUGUAUGUGCCAGUAUUAUGUAAUACAUCUGCUGGGAUUGGAGUUUCCAUAACAUUACCUGUCUCACAUUCACCAAUUAACCUUCUCUAACCCAGAAACUGUUCAUGAUGAAACAAUUAACACGACAAAUUGGGUUCUUCUUUAUUUCCAUCAUACAUUCUUCAUUUAAAUAAUGAAUAACCAAAGUGUGUUUAAAAUUGGACAUUGGUCAAAUUGGGUACUGCAGUCCAAUGUUAGACACGUGUGUACCUUUAUUGCAUCCCAUAAUACUUCUGCAAUCAAGAAUGCUGCUGCCUUUUUAAUGGACAUUAUUUUGAACAUUUUAUUCGAGUUAAAUAUUGCCCACCACCGUAUCCUGUCUUCCCAACAGAUUAGACGGGAUCGAUUCAGCUCUAUUAAAGUGUGUUCCUAGCACAAAAAGCUAGAGAAACACUGCAUCAGCUCCCAGAGGAAAUCACUGUUGGGCUAUUAGGCUCCACUGGUCUAAUCAAUCACACCUAUAGAGUCUCAGUUCCAUUUAUACCAUUAAUUAACCUUGGCUUCAAUCAAAAACAGUGGUACAUUUCCCAUUAAUUAAAUGUUAAUUAAUCUUCAAAGAACACACACACAAAUACAAAAAAACAUAACAUGCAAAAGGCAAGUGCAUACAAGUGAUGACUCGAAAAAGCUAAGCCAUACUUGGAACAUGGAAUUAAUGGAAUGUUUGAGUAGGUCUAUGAGUCAGUAAUAAUAGCUUCCUGGAAAGCGGGCUUCUGGAAAGUCACUUGUGGAUAUGUCCAAUAGACACUAAUUGAGCUGAUAGUAUAGUCUAUUACGGCAGACUAGAUUGUCCUUCUCCUGGGAAUUUAGGAAAUGGGUGUUUAUCAAGGCACAAUUACAGGCCUGACAGCUCUAAUGGGGGAGAGAACUCUUCAGUAACUUGUUACAUUUACAUCAUUUAGCAGACGCUCUUACCCAGAGCGACUUACAAAUUGGUGCAUUCACCUUGUUUUUACUUAGUCACAGCCAACAUUGGACAUUUUUCAGUUUGGUUUCUAUUUAAAUUCCUAAAAUCCUUCACAUGAAAUGAGUGGACCAUGAUUAAUUUACAUACUUCUAGAAAUAGGGAUGAACUAACUAUAUAUUCUCUAGUCUAAAUACAUAUAGGUAUACUACAAGAAGAUGUAUAAAGGCAAAUGCUUCUACAAAUGCUCUGUUGUCUGUUCUCUAUGUUGGUUAGGUCAGGGUGUGACUAGGGUGGGUAAUCUAGGUUGUUCUAUUUCUAUGUUGGCCUGGUAUGGUUCCCAAUCAGAGGCUGCUGUUUAUCGUUGUCUCUGAUUGGGAAUCAUAUUUAGGCAGCCAUUAUCCCACUGUGUUUUGUGGGAUCUUGUUGUGUUUUGUUUUUGUGUAGUUGCCUGUGAGCACUCCAGAACGUCACGUUUCGUUUGUUCGUUUAUUGUUUUGUAUUUGCUGAAGUUUCACUUUAUAAUAAAGAUGUGGAAUGCUACGUACGCUGCGCCUUGGUCCAGUUCUUACGACGAUAGUGACAGAAGAUCCCACCACAACAGGACCAAGCAGCAUGCCCAGGAGGAGAAGGUAUCCUGGACUUGGGAAGAGAUCCUGGACUUGGGAGGAAAUCCUGUCAGGACAGGAUCGCCUUCCUUGGCAGCAGACGCAAGGAGAGAAAGGAGGACAGCGACGACGGGGUUCGCGGCCACAAGGAAAGCCCAAAGGACAGCCCCAUUUUUUUUGGGGGGGGGGGCACACGGGGUGGUCGGCGGAGCCGAGGAGCGAACCAGAGCCGAUCUGGGAGAAGAGAGAGAAAUUG
rnacentral:lncRNA from 1 species